UCUCUCUCUCUCUCUCACCAAACGCAGACGUAACCACGGAGAAUUGGCAGAGAAUUGAAGUCAUAGGAAAAUGUAGCAGAAAGAGGGGUACGUUACAAAGAGAGAGAGAGAGAGAGAGAGAGAGAGAAAGACGUACACUUGAUGGUAGAGAUAAUGAUGAGGUUAUUUGGUUUUAAUCAGGGAACAAUUAGUCAGUCAAAAUUAAACAAUGAUUGAGAUGCUUA